rnacentral:rRNA from 1 species
AACGAACGCUGGCGGCGUGGAUAAGACAUGCAAGUCGAACGCUAAUUUCAGGGUAGCAAUAUUCUGAGGUUGGAGUGGCGCAAGGGUGCGUAACACGUGGGUAAUUUGCCGUGAAGUUGGGGGAUAACUCGCUGAAAGGCGAGCUAAUACCGAAUGUGAAAAUUGGGAGGCAUCUUCUGAUUUUCAAAGUUGGGGACCGCAAGGCCUGACGCUUCUCGAUAAGCCCGCGGCCAUCAGCUAGUUGGUGAGGUAAUGGCUCACCAAGGCUAAGACGGGGUAGCUGGUCUGAGAGGACGACCAGUCACACUGGAACUGAGACACGGUCCAGACACCUACGGGUGCAGCAGUCGAGAAUUUUUCUCAAUGGGCGAAAGCCUGAAGGAGCGACGCCGCGUGGGGGAUGAAGGGCUUCGGCU